CAGCCAGACAUAAAAUUUGCCACACGAUUUAAAUUUACCUUACUCAUUGAAUCGAGUUCAAAUGGUUAGGGCCUUGGGGAUGCUACAAAUUUGAGACCUACACAAAUUGGACACAAUCAUUCUAUUUUACUGUCCUGCAUGAUAGCGUUGGCUGCACGAGGUUAGGCCGUUCCUGCUUGCUAUCUAAUUGCACUACGUAACAACUUUAUCUUUACGAGAUUUGUUGUUGUCUCGAGGUAACAAAUAUAUAUUAGCCAUAAC
rnacentral:lncRNA from 1 species